rnacentral:rRNA from 1 species
CAGUCGCCACGGUAAUACGGAGGGUGCAAGCGUUAAUCGGAAUUACUGGGCGUAAAGCGCACGCAGGCGGUCUGACAAGUCAGAUGUGAAAUCCCCGGGCUUAACCUGGGAACUGCAUUUGAAACUGUCAGGCUGGAGUCUCGUAGAGGGGGGUAGAAUUCCAGGUGUAGCGGUGAAAUGCGUAGAGAUCUGGAGGAAUACCGGUGGCGAAGGCGGCCCCCUGGACAAAGACUGACGCUCAGGUGCGAAAGCGUGGGGAGCAAACAGGAUUAGAUACCCGAGUAGUCCCUGUCUCUUAUAC